rnacentral:miRNA from 1 species
UGUGUGUGUGUGUGUGUGUGUGUGUGUGUAUAAACUGGUAUAUAUAUAUACACACACACACACACACACACACACACA